AAGGAGCUGUGGACUGCAUGGAAGAGAGAAUGCCGGAAUGAGUAGCGAGAUAGAGGUGGGAAUCCUCUAGGCCGAAUAUCCAAGGUUUCCAGGGUAAAGCUGAUCUGCCCUGGGUGAGUCGGGACCUAAGGUGAGGGCGAGAGCCGUAGCCGAUGGACAACAGGUUGAUAUUCCUGUACUGCAGUAUGACAGAACUGUGGGGACACGUAAGGAGAGCGGGAGCCGGGAAUGGAAAGCCCGGUACAAGCGAGGUACCAGUAUGGUAGGAAAAUCCGCCAUGCAAUGGGAAGACGUGAUGUGGAGUGAAGAUUAGUAGCGAAGCCCGUGAGCCAUGCGUCAAGAAAAGCCGCUAUCGUUCAUAUUGUACCCGUACCGUAAACCGACACAGGUGGAUGAGGAGAGAAUCCUAAGGCCGGCGGAAGAAGUAUUGCCAAGGAACUCGGCAAAAUGGCCCCGUAACUUAGGGAGAAGGGGUGCCUGCGAGAGCAGGCCGCAGAGAAUAGGCUCAAGCAACUGUUUAGCAAAAACACAGGUCUAUGCGAAACCGAAAGGUGAGGUAUAUGGGCUGACGCCUGCCCGGUGCUGGAAGGUUAAGAGGAGAAGUCAGGCAACGAAGCUUCGAAUUUAAGCCCCAGUAAACGGCGGCCGUAACUAUAACGGUCCUAAGGUAGCGAAAUUCCUUGUCGGGUAAGUUCCGACCCGCACGAAAGGCGUAAUGAUUUGAGCGCUGUCUCGGCAAUACAUCCGGUGAAAUUGAAGUGCCAGUGAAGAUGCUGGCUACCCGCGCCAGGACGGAAAGACCCCAUGGAGCUUUACUCCAGUUUGGCACUGGGGUCCGGUGUUGCAUGUACAGGAUAGGUGGGAGGCUGAGAAACGGUAACGUCAGUUGCCGCGGAGCCGCUGUUGGGAUACCACCCUUGUGAUAUUGGGCUUCUAACCAGCCGCCGUAAUCCGGCGGUGGGACAAUGCCAGGCGGGGAGUUUGACUGGGGCGGUCGCCUCCGAAAGGGUAUCGGAGGCGCCCAAAGGUUCCCUCAGAAUGGACGGAAACCAUUCGAAGAGUGCAAAGGCAGAAGGGAGCUUGACUGCGACACCGACG
rnacentral:rRNA from 1 species